rnacentral:rRNA from 1 species
CAAUAGCGUAUAUUAAAGUUGUUGCGGUUAAAAAGCUCGUAGUUGGAUUUCUGCUGAGGACGAUCGGUCCGCCCACUGGGUGAGUAUCUGGCUCGGCCUUGGCAUCUUCUUGGAGAACGUUGCUGCACUUGACUGUGUGGUGCGGUAUCCAGGACUUUUACUUUGAGGAAAUUAGAGUGUUUCAAGCAGGCGCACGCCUUGAAUACAUUAGCAUGGAAUAAUAAGAUAGGACCUUAGUUCUAUUUUGUUGGUUUCUAGAGCUGAGGUAAUGAUUAAUAGGGAUAGUUGGGGGCAUUCGUAUUUAACUGUCAGAGGUGAAAUUCUUGGAUUUGUUAUAGACGGACUACUGCGAAAGCAUUUGCCAAGGAUGUUUUCAUUGA